rnacentral:lncRNA from 1 species
AGCUGACUUCUCUUCCCUGCUUCUGAAAUAUAAUACAGGUUAUAAGUUUUAAAGAGAUUUUUUGUGCCUAGGAGUCUAGGAAAUAAACCUGUGGAUAUUGGCAGGGCUUAUUGAAUUUAGAUUUGCUUUAAGUGGCAUUGACUUUUAGAUAUGAUCUUCCCAGCAAAAUGACAAGUGAAUUCCUUACAAAUAAAUAGUUGGUAGGUUGGACCUUGCUCUGAUAUGUGUGCUGGUGUGUAAGCCCUGUACUGCUGCUGCCCCUAAUGUCUUGUUUACUUGUGCAUCUCUGCUGUGAAUGGAAUUUGCUUUGUGAACACACCCUUUGUCUUUGGCCUUGAUAAUAGCAUUCCUUCUUGUGCUAUCUUUCUGCUUUUAGAAGAAAGUGAAAGAGCAGAUUUUAGAGCUGUUUAAAAAAAGUGCUAGCUUGGAAUUUAUUUUUUUUAAUAUUAAAAUCCCAUCUCCAUAUCCAAAUAUUAUUACAUAUCUGAUAAUAAAUCUGCCAUACUGAGUUAGAAUAUGAGCUGCACUUUAAAAGCCUCUGCUGAUGAGGAUGGUACCCCACAAAAUAAAAUAUUUGCAACUCCAGCUGACAUGAAUCUUUCCAGCAUCCUAGUAUGAUUUAGUUAUCUGUUCCUGUUCUGUUUUCCAGAACAGAACUAAGAAGCGAGUGGGGGAUAACAAUUAGUUUUUGUCAUAUGGCUGUUUGGCUCAGGAGACUUUUAGUCCAUUGAAGGUCCACAUGACAAGUAGUUUUUUUUUUAAUUAUUAUUAUUCAUAGUACUCCAGAUCUAUUCAUAGAGUGAAGCCUUAUAAAUCCAGUUGUUAGGUGAAAAAAAAAUUACAUUCAUGGGAUUUUGUUUCUACUCUCAUUUCCUGUGUCAGCCAAAAUGUAAGUGAAUUAUACAAACAUGAUUCCUGUUUAAGCCAAAGAAGUUAUUU